rnacentral:rRNA from 1 species
AAUUACUAAGCGGAGGAAAAGAAACUAAAAAGGAUUCCCUUAGUAACGGCGAGUGAAGAGGGAAGAGCCCAGCACUGAAUUCACCAGCUUUGUAAUUGGAGGAAAAUGUGGUGUUUGGGAGUGUCUAYGAGUUGAUGUUUAUGUUGCUAGAGUCCUCCUGACCGGGGCUUAACCCAGAGUGGGUGUUAGGCCUUUUCAGCAAAUAAAUCYGUCUCUCUGGCGCUCUCGGGAGUCGGGUUGUUUGAGAUUGCAGCCCAAAGUGGGUGGUAAACUCCACCUAAGGCUAAAUACGURCACGAGUCCGAUAGCGAACAAGUACGGUGACGGAAAAGUUGAAAAG